rnacentral:lncRNA from 1 species
GUUUGCAUUUUUAAAAUGAGCAUUUACGGAGAGGGUAAAAUUUUAUUUCUUCGAAUUGAAACCGAGCUACGACUUUUUCUGGAGUCAUCAUGACCUCAAAAAAAAAAAAAAAAAAAAAAAAAAAAAAAAAAAAAAAAAAAAAUUGGUGCGUACCCAUGUUAUCAUGACCACCGUCCUUCCAUGAAAUACUAGUACGAACAGCAUAUUUACGUAGUUGGGUGUCGAUUUUCAGUCAAGCUUUAGUUUUCAAGCUUAAAGUGCUGUAGGCAUCAAGUCAUCAGUUUUUUUCUUUAGUUUGCAGUUUAGUUUUGCAAUUCUCAUAGGUUCUUGUUGUGGGGUCGAAUUGCAGCCUUAUUGACAGAAGUGAUGUUUGGUAUGAUUUUAGUAACAUUCAUCCGACUUUCGUCUCUUUUGCUGACUUUACCUACAUCCUUGUUCUGUUCUCAGGCAGUUGUGCGUCUGCCAGCAAACCGAAACCCUAUGCAAAACAAUCCUUGCAGCAGUCUACCUAGAGAACCUGAACAAGCCCAACUAGAUGAGGCGCAUCAUUACUGCCAAUCGGUUUUAGACCGCUUCCGGAGGCAUCCAGUCAGUACGUGGAGUCAGAAUAAUUUGAAUCGUUUCGAAACUCAGUGUUCUGAAAAGAAAACGCUCUCACAAGAGAUAAAACGCGGGUGCAAGAUCAUCAUCAUAGGUCUUGGAUGGAGACCUUACAAACGCAUGGAUUUGGAAGAUUAUGUGACAGAUCUAACUUUCUGGAUCCGUGAGGGAUACAAGCUAAACGUUGACAUAUCAAAAAUAGUUGUUGAAGAAAAUCGAGGCAAAUGGCUGGCUACUGUUGAGAUACAUAAAGAGGAGGAAAUAAACAAUAAUGUUGGAGUGUACGCCGUUCGGGGCACCAUGCGACCCCAAAAAGAAGAUAGGCACAAAUUCUACGUAAAUCCGCUGGAUACUAAAGCAUCAUUCUUCGGGGUCUUUGAUGGUCAUAGUGGACAGGUAAGCUCAAUUCAUUGCAUAUCUCAGACACUCCACCUGUUCUAAAGUGAUUUUGGCAAUACUUGAAAAUAUCGAAAUCCUUGAGUCUUGA